CUUUUCUAAUGUGUGGAGGUUUCCACUUACCUCACCACUGGUUUCUAAUCUAAUUCUGUGGUGGCCAACAGCAUGACCAGCAAGUUAGUCAGCAUGUCCAUUAUCUCAUAUACUAAAGGUCUCUGUGUGUGUGUGGGGGGGGGGCUUAAGAUCCACUCUCAGCAAAUUUCUGAUGUACAGUGGGGUAUUAUUCACUACAAUAGUCAUGCUGUUCACUGGGUCUCCAGAACUGUCUUCAUAUCCUUUGACCAACAGCGUCCCAUGUCCCCACAAUCUGCAGCCGUCACCCUGAUCUCUGCUUCUCUGUUGGGAAUAUCUUCCGGUGUCUCCUGAAUCCACCUCCAGCUGAUGUCCUCUCUGUGGUGAAGCUGUGUUUUUCUUUGAGAGGCUACAGUUUGUCAACAAGAGAAGCCAAGGUGCCUGGAGGUGGUGGCACAUGCCUGUGAUCCCAGCACUCAGAAGGCAGAGGCAGAUGGAUCUCUGUGAGUUCGAGACCAGCCUGGUCUACAGAGGAGUUCCAGGACAGCCUCCAAAGCCACAGAG
rnacentral:lncRNA from 1 species